rnacentral:rRNA from 1 species
UACGGAGGGUGCGAGCGUUGUCCGGAAUCAUUGGGCGUAAAGGGCGCGUAGGUGGCGGGACAAGCGUGCGGUGAAAGCUCGGGGCUCAACCCCGAGUCGGCCGUGCGAACUGUUUUGCUUGAGCACUGUAGAGGCAGGCGGAAUUCCGGGUGUAGCGGUGGAAUGCGUAGAGAUCCGGAAGAACACCCGUGGCGAAGGCGGCUCUCUGGUACGUGACUGACGCUGAGACGCGAAAGCGUGGGGAGCAAACAGG